UACGGGGGGGGCAAGCGUUGUUCGGAAUUACUGGGCGUAAAGGGCUCGUAGGUGGCCAACUAAGUCAGACGUGAAAUCCCCAGGCUCAACUUGGGAACUGCGUCUGAUACUGGAUGGCUUGAAUUCGGGAGAGGGAUGCAGAAUUCCAGGUGUAGCGGUGAAAUGCGUAGAUAUCUGGAGGAAUACCGGUGGCGAAGGCGGCUUCCUGGACCGACACUGACGCUGAGGCGCGAAAGCUAGGGGAGCAAACGGG
rnacentral:rRNA from 1 species